rfam:Myotis davidii contig80515, whole genome shotgun sequence.
AUCCGUCUGUGUUCCCACUGAGGUGACUGGGUGAUCACUCCCUGUGUGGGCUGCGCCUCCCUCAAACCUUGUUACCACGUCCACACCUUCCCCGGCUGACA